GGAUAACUCCGGGAAACCGGGGCUAAUACCGGAUGGUUGUUUGAACCGCAUGGUUCAGACAUAAAAGGUGGCUUCGGCUACCACUUACAGAUGGACCCGCGGCGCAUUAGCUAGUUGGUGAGGUAACGGCUCACCAAGGCAACGAUGCGUAGCCGACCUGAGAGGGUGAUCGGCCACACUGGGACUGAGACACGGCCCAGACUCCUACGGGAGGCAGCAGUAGGGAAUCUUCCGCAAUGGACGAAAGUCUGACGGAGCAACGCCGCGUGAGUGAUGAAGGUUUUCGGAUCGUAAAGCUCUGUUGUUAGGGAAGAACAAGUGCCGUUCAAAUAGGGCGGCACCUUGACGGUACCUAACCAGAAAGCCACGGCUAACUACGUGCCAGCAGCCGCGGUAAUACGUAGGUGGCAAGCGUUGUCCGGAAUUAUUGGGCGUAAAGGGCUCGCAGGCGGUUUCUUAAGUCUGAUGUGAAAGCCCCCGGCUCAACCGGGGAGGGUCAUUGGAAACUGGGGAACUUGAGUGCAGAAGAGGAGAGUGGAAUUCCACGUGUAGCGGUGAAAUGCGUAGAGAUGUGGAGGAACACCAGUGGCGAAGGCGACUCUCUGGUCUGUAACUGACGCUGAGGAGCGAAAUACUGCGUGGGAGAGGCGAACAGGAUUAGAUACCCUGGUAGUCCACGCUCGUAAACGAUGAGUGCUAAGUGUUAGGGGGUUUCCGCCCCUUAGUGCUGCAGCUAACGCAUUAAGCACUCCGCCUGGGGAGUACGGUCGCAAGACUGAAACUCAAAGGAAUUGACGGGGGCCCGCACAAGCGGUGGAGCAUGUGGUUUAAUUCGAAGCAACGCGAAGAACCUUACCAGGUCUUGACAUCCUCUGACAAUCCUAGAGAUAGGACGUCCCCUUCGGGGGCAGAGUGACAGGUGGUGCAUGGUUGUCGUCAGCUCGUGUCGUGAGAUGUUGGGUUAAGUCCCGCAACGAGCGCAACCCUUGAUCUUAGUUGCCAGCAUUCAGUUGGGCACUCUAAGGUGACUGCCGGUGACAAACCGGAGGAAGGUGGGGAUGACGUCAAAUCAUCAUGCCCCUUAUGACCUGGGCUACACACGUGCUACAAUGGGCAGAACAAAGGGCAGCGAAACCGCGAGGUUAAGCCAAUCCCACAAAUCUGUUCUCAGUUCG
rnacentral:rRNA from 1 species